UACAGAGGUCCCAAGCGUUGUUCGGAUUCACUGGGCGUAAAGGGUGCGUAGGUGGUCGAGUAAGUCUAAUGUGAAAUCUCCGAGCCUAACUCGGAAACUGCAUCGGAUACUAUUCGGCUAGAGGAUUGGAGGGGGGACUGGAAUACUUGGUGUAGCAGUGAAAUGCGUAGAUAUCAAGUGGAACACCAGUGGCGAAGGCGAGUCCCUGGACAACUCCUGACACUGAGGCACGAAAGCUAGGGGAGCAAACAGG
rnacentral:rRNA from 1 species